rnacentral:rRNA from 1 species
AUUGAACGCUGGCGGCAGGCCUAACACAUGCAAGUCGAGCGGACGGCGGACGGGUGAGUAACGAGUAAAUAACUUACCUCACAGUUAGGGACUACAUUUGGAAACGAAUGCUCAUACCUAAUACUGUGAGAGAGCUUUGCGUCCCAUUAGCUAGUGGGAGAGGUAACGGCUCACCAAGGCGAGGAUGGGUAGCCGGCCUGAGAGGGUGAUAGGCCACAAGGGGACUGAGACACGGCCCUUACUCCUACGGGAGGCAGCAGUGGGGAAUAUUGGACAAUGGACCAAAGUCUGAUCCAGCAAUUCUGUGUGCACGAUGAAGUUUUCGGAAUGUAAAGUGCUUUCAGUUGGGAAGCGGUACCAACAGAAGAAGUGACGGCUAAAUACGUGCCAGCAGCCGCGGUAAUUC